rnacentral:rRNA from 1 species
GGGCCCGCACAAGCGGUGGAGCAUGUGGUUUAAUUCGAUGCAACGCGAAGAACCUUACCAGGACUUGACAUACUACAAAUUCUUUUGAGAAAAAGAAGUGCCUUCGGGAAUGUAGAUACAGGUGGUGCAUGGCUGUCGUCAGCUCGUGUCGUGAGAUGUUGGGUUAAGUCCCGCAACGAGCGCAACCCUUAUUUUUAGUUACCAAUUCGUUGGGUUCUCUAGAAAGACUGCCGGUGACAAACCGGAGGAAGGUGAGGAUGACGUCAAGUCAGCAUGCCCCUUAUGUCCUGGGCUACACACGUGCUACAAUGGUUAAGACAAAGAGCAGCCACUUCGCAAGAAGGAGCG